UACGAAGGGGGCUAGCGUUGUUCGGAAUUACUGGGCGUAAAGCGCACGUAGGCGGGCGAUUAAGUCAGGGGUGAAAUCCCGGAGCUCAACUCCGGAACUGCCUUUGAUACUGGUCGUCUAGAGAUCGGAAGAGGUGAGUGGAAUUCCCAGUGUAGAGGUGAAAUUCGUAGAUAUUGGGAAGAACACCGAUGGCGAAGGCAGCCAUCUGGACCGACACUGACGCUGAGGCGCGAAAGCGUGGGGAGCAAACAGG
rnacentral:rRNA from 1 species